GUUCAGAGAGGGAGGAGGAGAGAGAAGGAGGGAGGGAAGAAAGGAGAGAGGGAGAGAGCCAGAAAACAGAGCAAGAUAAAGGAAGAGAAUGCACCUGAAAUAGACACAAGGAUAAAUGGAUCAAGGAGAGAGGAGAAACAGAUAAUCACAACAGCGAAUAUUUGUUAAAUGCAUGCUCUUUGCCAGACUCUCCAAGAUAUGCAGAGCUUUGGGCCAGGAUCCUACAGCCACGGGUCAUGCAGAGCCAGUUGGCCACAUCCUUUGGGCCAAAUUUGGUCCUAACCAGGUCUUACCACGGUAACUGCUAACCAGUCCAUCUUCAGUUAAUAUUUCAUGCGUAAGAUGUUUCAUGAAGUAACUGAAUGGGCUAAUGGGUUGUUCACUGGAUAAGACUCCCAGAUACUCCCUUUCAUGCCAUUCCCCAGAAUUCCUUCACCUCCCAGUGCUGUCUGUAAGGGUGAAGAUACUCCAUUUUGCCCCAUGCUCUUUGCUGUGCCCCAGAUAGGCUCAAACAUUUUUCCCUUUUGGGGAUUUUGCAGGUAGGAAUUGUUGAACAUCUUACCAUUUAAUCCAGAAGUUAUGUCCUUUAAGGAAUCGACCCUGAGCCUGUGAGUUUUACUUUGGGUUGGGGGUGAAGGAGUGGACCUUGCAGCAUUCAAGGUCAUCCAAGAUCAUCCAGUUAAGGCCCCUAAGGUCACUACGGGGGGAAAAGCCUGGUGAGGGAAGAGAAAGCAUUAGGGGGAGCUGCACCGUGCUGAGAAAUAACACCACACAGAAGUCUGUGUUCUAAUCUCAGCUCUGCUUUGCAUUACUGUGUGACCUGGAGCUGAUCACAGCCCUCUGAGUCUUAAAGGGGUUGGACAAGGCCAACUAAACAUUAGAAACACCUGAAAGUGCUGGUUAAAAGGAAGAAUGCAUGAGCUUCACUCCAGAUUUACUAUAUCAGAAUUUCCAGGGUCAGGGUCCAAGAAUCUGCAUGUUUAAUACGCUUUCCACAUGAUUUUUCCCCCCUCUGGACUUAAGAAAACAAUGGGCAAGUCAGCUCAUGAAGAACUUUUCAGAUAUUCAGACUAUUAUUCUGAGAGAGAAAAUAUUGGCAGAGAACAGAUGGGAUUUUUCUCAAGGAAAAGAAAUGGAAAUCCUACAUCUUGCAAGAAAUAGAAAAAAAUAAAUAAACUGUUUGAAGAAGAAUCACAUCAGGCUGGCAGGAGAGAGCCUGCGGCUCGGUGUCUGACCCAGAAUGUUAAAGCCAGCCUGGCUUGGCUCCAGGAUAAAGGACACUCUGUCAGCCUCUCCACAUUGAUUCAUCUCCCCAGCCCCAAGAUCAGGAGAGCAUUCUGUUCCUUGAAGCAUUUUAUGACUGUAAGUCAGAAGUGCUGCAGUUUUAAUAAAAAGCUGUAUUGUCC
rnacentral:lncRNA from 1 species